UUAAGUUGUACAAGAUGCACCAUUUCUGAGGACUUCUGGCACAGUGGCCUGCACUGUUCAAAGUUCGCAAGAUCAGUGCUGAAUUGAAAAGAAUCACCAGUCCCACUGCAAUGGCCAGCACUGUUCAAAGUCCACAAGGUCAUGGAUGAAGUUGCCGUAGACGAAGC